rnacentral:rRNA from 1 species
CGGUAGCACAGAGAGCUUGCUCUCGGGUGACGAGUGGCGGACGGGUGAGUAAUGUCUGGGAAACUGCCUGAUGGAGGGGGAUAACUACUGGAAACGGUAGCUAAUACCGCAUAACGUCGCAAGACCAAAGAGGGGGACCUUCGGGCCUCUUGCCAUCAGAUGUGCCCAGAUGGGAUUAGCUAGUAGGUGGGGUAACGGCUCACCUAGGCGACGAUCCCUAGCUGGUCUGAGAGGAUGACCAGCCACACUGGAACUGAGACACGGUCCAGACUCCUACGGGAGGCAGCAGUGGGGAAUAUUGCACAAUGGGCGCAAGCCUGAUGCAGCCAUGCCGCGUGUAUGAAGAAGGCCUUCGGGUUGUAAAGUACUUUCAGCGGGGAGGAAGGUGUUGUGGUUAAUAACCGCAGCAAUUGACGUUACCCGCAGAAGAAGCACCGGCUAACUCCGUGCCAGCAGCCGCGGUAAUACGGAGGGUGCAAGCGUUAAUCGGAAUUACUGGGCGUAAAGCGCACGCAGGCGGUCUGUCAAGUCGGAUGUGAAAUCCCCGGGCUCAACCUGGGAACUGCAUUCGAAACUGGCAGGCUAGAGUCUUGUAGAGGGGGGUAGAAUUCCAGGUGUAGCGGUGAAAUGCGUAGAGAUCUGGAGGAAUACCGGUGGCGAAGGCGGCCCCCUGGACAAAGAC